AUACAGAGGGUGCGAGCGUUAAUCGGAAUUACUGGGCGUAAAGCGCGCGUAGGAGGCUACUUAAGUCAGAUGUGAAAUCCCCGGGCUCAACCUGGGAACUGCAUCUGAUACUGGGUAGCUAGAGUUUUGGAGAGGGAAGUAGAAUUUCAGGUGUAGCGGUGAAAUGCAUAGAGAUCUGAAGGAAUACCAGUGGCGAAGGCGACUUCCUGGCCAAAAACUGACGCUGAGGUGCGAAAGCGUGGGUAGCAAACGGGAUUAGAUACCCUAGUAGUCC
rnacentral:rRNA from 1 species